rnacentral:misc_RNA from 1 species
GAUGAAGAACGUAGCGAAAUGCGAUAAGUAAUGUGAAUUGCAGAAUUCAGUGAAUCAUCGAAUCUUUGAACGCACCUUGCGCCCUUUGGCCAUUCCGAAGGGCAUGCCUGUUUGAGUAUCAUGAACACCUCAACUCUUCAUGGUUUUCCAUGAUGAGCUUGGACUUUGGGGGUCUUGCUGGCCUGUGGGUCGGCUCCUCUCAAAUGAAUCAGCUUGCCGGUUUUUGGUGGGCAUCACAGGUGUGAUAACUAUCUACGCUUGUGGUUUUCCACCAGGGUAACCUUCAGCAGUGGAGGUUCACUGGAGCUUACAAAUGUCUCUCCUCUGUGAGGACAGCCCUUUGAAUGUUUGAUCUCAAAUCAGGUAGGACUACCCGCUGAACUUAAGCAUAUCAAUAAGCGGAGG